AUACGUAGGUGGCAAGCGUUGCCCGGAUUUACUGGGUGUAAAGGGCGUGCAGGCGGAGAUGCAAGUCAGGAGUGAAAUCUAGGGGCUCAACCCCUAAACUGCUUUUGAAACUGUAUCCCUUGAGUAUCGGAGAGGCAGGCGGAAUUCUCAGUGUAGCGGUGAAAUUCGUAGAUAUUAGGAGGAACACCAGUGGCGAAGGCGGCCUGCUGGACGACAACUGACGCUGAGGCGCGAAAGCGUGGGGAGCAAACAGGAUUAGAUACCCUGGUAGUCCACGCUGUAAACGAUGAAUACUAGGUGUGGGGGGACUGACCCCCUCCGUGCCGCAGUUAACACAAUAAGUAUUCCACCUGGGGAGUACGAUCGCAAGAUUGAAACUCAAAUGAAUUGACGGGG
rnacentral:rRNA from 1 species